ACCGCCGUCGCUCUACGAUGAGUGAUCCGUGAGCUGUCGGACUGCGAUAGUCAGUUCUGUUCUCUCGCGGGAAGUCUGCAACUAUCACUAGAGGAAGGAGAAGUCGUAACAAGGUUCCGUAGGUGAACUGCGGAAGGAUCAUUC
rnacentral:ncRNA from 1 species